rnacentral:rRNA from 1 species
CACUGCCGAGAAAAGCCUCUAGCUAGAAUAACGGUGCCCGUACCGCAAACCGACACAGGUAGUCAAGAUGAGAAUUCUAAGGUGAGCGAGCGAACUCUCGUUAAGGAACUCGGCAAAAUGACCCCGUAACUUCGGGAGAAGGGGUGCUCUUUGAGGUUCACGCUUCGAAGAGCCGCAGUGAAUAGGCCCAAGCGACUGUUUAUCAAAAACACAGGUCUCUGCUAAACCGUAAGGUGACGUAUAGGGGCUGACGCCUGCCCGGUGCUGGAAGGUUAAGAGGAGUGGUUAGCGCAAGCGAAGCUACGAAUCGAAGCCCCAGUAAACGGCGGCCGUAACUAUAACGGUCCUAAGGUAGCGAAAUUCCUUGUCGGGUAAGUUCCGACCCGCACGAAAGGCGUAACGAUUUGGGCACUGUCUCAACGAGAGACUCGGUGAAAUCAUAGUACCGGUGAAGAUGCCGGUUACCCGCGACAGGACGGAAAGACCCCGUGGAGCUUUACUGUAGCCUGAUAUUGAAAUUCGGUACAGUUUGUACAGGAUAGGUAGGAGCCUUAGAAGCGUGAGCGCUAGCUUACGUGGAGGCAUUGGUGGGAUACUACCCUAAUUGUAUUGGAUUUCUAACCCGCAGCACUUAUCGUGCUGGGAGACAGUGUCAGGCGGGCAGUUUGACUGGGGCGGUCGCCUCCUAAAGAGUAACGGAGGCGCUCAAAGGUUCCCUCAGAAUGGUUGGAAAUCAUUCAUAGAGUGUAAAGGCAUAAGGGAGCUUGACUGCGAGACCUACAAGUCGAGCAGGGUCGAAAGACGGACUUAGUGAUCCGGUGGUUCCGCAUGGAAGGGCCAUCGCUCAACGGAUAAAAGCUACCCCGGGGAUAACAGGCUUAUCUCCCCCAAGAGUUCACAUCGACGGGGAGGUUUGGCACCUCGAUGUCGGCUCAUCGCAUCCUGGGGCUGUAGUCGGUCCCAAGGGUUGGGCUGUUCGCCCAUUAAAGCGGUACGCGAGCUGGGUUCAGAACGUCGUGAGACAGUUCGGUCCCUAUCCGUCGUGGGCGUAGGAAAUUUGAGAGGAGCUGUCCUUAGUACGAG